rnacentral:sRNA from 1 species
UUAGUUCUGUCCUGGGGGCUACUUCCACUGGAGAGGGACCUGGGGAGGUGACCAUACGGCCACUCCGUCCCCCUCAGAGGGCCCGGCUCCUGGAGAAGUGGAUCCGCGUGGCAGAGGAGUGCCGGCUGCUCCGAAACUUCUCUUCAGUUUAUGCCGUGGUGUCAGCCCUGCAGUCCAGCCCCAUCCACAGGCUUCGGGCAGCCUGGGGGGAAGCAACCAGGGACAGCCUCAGAGUCUUUUCCAGUCUCUGCCAGAUUUUCUCCGAGGAGGAUAAUUAUUCCCAGAGUCGGGAGCUGCUCGUGCAGGUAAGAGCCUGGUUUGUGGCAUUCCCACCUCUCCCUGCUCCCUACUGCUCCCCCAUGUCUCUAUUUUGUCACCACCAGGAGGUGAAGCUGCAGUCUCCUCUGGAGCCACACUCCAAGAAGGCCCCGAGGUCUGGCUCCCGGGGUGGGGGUGUGGUCCCAUACCUUGGCACCUUCCUGAAGGACCUUGUGAUGCUGGAUGCAGCCUCCAAGGAUGAGUUGGAGAAUGGAUACAUCAAUUUUGACAAGCGGAGGAAGGUGAGCGGAGUGCCUGGGCUGGAUGCUGGACUUCCCUAUCCAUGUUCCAGGAAGGGGAGGGGGGAAAGUCAGGGGUCCCUGAGUUUUGGCUCCUGCAGUUUGAGGGCUCCUUCCCAGGAGUUUGCAGUCCUUUCUGAGUUGCGACGGCUCCAGAAUGAAUGUCGUGGCUAUAACCUCCAACCUGACCAUGAUAUCCAGAGGUGGCUACAGGGGCUCCGGCCACUGACAGAGGCUCAGAGCCAUCGUGUAUCCUGUGAGGUGGAGCCACCUGGUUCCAGUGACCCUCCUGCCCCACGGGUGCUUCGGCCAACACUGGUCAUCUCGCAGUGGACAGAGUGAGAGAUUCACUGGCUGGGGGGUGGUUUCUUGGGACUUCCACUUUUCUUCUGAUCCUCCCAACCUCCUGCCACUGCAGGGUUCUGGGCUCUGUUGGGGUCCCUACCCCACUUGUGUCCUGUGACCGGCCCAGUAUCGGGGGAGAUGAGGCGCCUACAACUCCUGCUCCUCUGCUGACUCGGCUGGCCCAGCACAUGAAGUGGCCAUCUGUCUCGUCACUAGACUCUGCCCUGGAAAGCAGUCCAUCCCUGCACAGUCCAGCUGACCCCAGCCACCUCUCCCCACCAGCCUCCUCCCCUAGGCCUUCUCGAGGUCACCGCCGCUCAGCCUCCUGUGGCUCCCCGCUGAGUGGGGGUGCAGAAGAGGCCUCCGGGGGGACUGGAUAUGGGGGAGGGGGAUCUGG